rnacentral:rRNA from 1 species
UGGGGAAUACUGCACAAUGGGCGGAAGCCUGAUGCAGCAACGCCGCGUGCGGGAUGACGGCCUUCGGGUUGUAAACCGCUUUCGCCUGUGACGAAGCGUGAGUGACGGUAAUGGGUAAAGAAGUACCGGCUAACUACGUGCCAGCAGCCGCGGUGAUACGUAGGGUGCGAGCGUUGUCCGGAUUUAUUGGGCGUAAAGGGCUCGUAGGUGGUUGAUCGCGUCGGAAGUGUAAUCUUGGGGCUUAACCCUGAGCGUGCUUUCGAUACGGGUUGACUCGAGGAAGGUAGGGGGAGAAUGGAAUUCCUGGUGGAGCGGUGGAAUGCGCAGAUAUCAGGAGGAACACCAGUGGCGAAGGCGGUUCUCUGGGCCUUUCCUGACGCUGAGGAGCGAAAGCGUGGGGAGCGAACAGGCUUAGAUACCCUGGUAGUCCACGCUGUAAACGGUGGGUACUAGGUGUGGGGGUCCAUUUCCACGGGUUCCGCGCCGUAGCUAACGCUUUAAGUACCCCGCCU